rnacentral:lncRNA from 1 species
UUUGACCAUGUUAGACCUAUGAGAAUUUAAUUGGACUUGUUGAAGUUGAUUUGAAUUGAAUUUGAGGUUUGACCAUAUUUUGUCCAUUUUAAAUUUGCAUUUAUUUUAAUUCCAAAAAUACCAAAAAAAAAAUAUUUGACUUGUUGACUUCUAAUCUUCAUUUUUCUUCUAUUUACCAUUGGUUGAUGAUGAUUUAAUUCAC